CCGCCGUCACCCCGGGGGUCCCGCCGCGAGGCCGGCAGGCUGCGCAGGGGACGUGCCGGGGCCAAGACGCGCGCCUGGCCCGGGCCGGGAGGCGCGGCGCCGGGAGCUGGGCCGUGCGGGCUCCGGCCGCCUUCAGCUCGCCGCGGGCACCCCUGGCUGGCUGCGCUUCCGUGGCGGGACGUGGCCUCGGAGGUUGCGCUUUCCGGGACCGGGCGACGAGGCGCCCCUCCGCGGGGAUGACAGUCCUGGCCGCGCCCGGGCCGCCUCCCCAGCCUUCGGCAACUCUGUCUCCCAAAGCAGCACCGCGCCCCGGACCUCUCGCCCUGCCCGGCCGGCCACCCGCGCCCUUCCUCUCCGCGGACUUGGGCCUGUCUGCAUUGUGGCUAGUGGGUCACUGCAUGGGUGACGCCCCAGGACCCUAUUAUAGCAAAAACCUGUUUGGUUUAGUGUCUGUACUGCCCUGGGCCUGAUGCUCAGUGGGACAGGUUGUGUCUGUCUGGGUCACGCCAGUGUCCCAGAGGCCUAGCAGAGCAAGAGCAUAUGGAUCCCCAGGUUGUGUAUGUGCAUCAACCCAGAGACACAGGCAAAGAUGUCCAAGGUCGUUGGUCAUCAGGAGACUCAAAUUAAAACCACAGUGAGACCACCUUUGACACCCAUGGCUAGAAUCAAAAGACAGUUACAGGUGUUGACAAGGAUGUGGUAAGGCUGGGGCCCUCACCCAGUGUCGUGCCCAGAUGCGUGUGCCCAGGAAACAUCAAGUCACCCUGUAACCUCAGUUCCACCUCUGGAGAGGGGCUGAGAAGGAGGAAGCACUGUGUGACAUCACGUGACCAUGUGGCACUGCAUGGCCAGCAGUGGGAGGAGGGUCAUUCCCACUCAGACGGAAGACCAGCUGUGACCAAGCACUGGGAUUCCCGCUGCUCCCCAGCGGGGGCUCCUUUGAGAAAUCUUGUCUGAGGGCUUCUGGUUUCUCUCUGAAGAAAGCAAGGACAUUUGGCAGAAGGAGGAGGAGGAAGCAGCCGAGGCAGGGGGUCUGGGAGGAAAGGCCAGCCGCAGGCCGUGGCCCCUGCAUUCUCUCCCAGCGGAGUCUGGUGCACACAAGACACCAGCCAACCAGAGACGGCCUGGGGUAGGCAGCCUGCCCCCAGGAAGGUGGCCCCUGAGGACGCAGGAAAAGCCCACUUGGCCAGAGGGGUGACGGAUCAAAGCCAGUGGUGUUUCUAGCAGAAACACACAUGGGUUUCAUGACCACAGCUCCUUACACAGAUUCAUAAAGGGAAAAUAUCAGUGGGGUCAUCUCAAAGACCAGCCAGCUGAAGCCCUGCCAGGUUCUUUGGCAAAUGCUCUGGUCUCUGCAGGUGGGAGGUGCUGGGUGCUGGUGCCCAGUCACUGUGGAGCCUCAGCCCCUUCUCUGCUUUGUGGAGCACAUGCCCGAACGCUUCCAGGGCCCAGGGCGGGCCCCUCCUCUGCUGAGCUCCGGUGCUUCCACCGUGGAAUCAAACAGCUUCCUAGAUGAACCUUGGAGACAUGGCUCUCAGUGAAAUAAGCCUGUCAUAUAAGGGAUCCAUAUUGUAUCAUUCCACUUAUAGAAUAUUCAAAUUCAUAACAAUACAAAGUAGAAUGGUGGGGGCCAGGGGCUGGAGGAAGGAAAAAUAUGGAAUUAUUGUGUAAUGGGUAUAGAGUUUCAGUUAGGGAAGACGAACGCAUUCUGCAGACAGAUGGUGAUGAUGGCUACACAACAGUAUGAAUGUGCUUAAUGCCACUGAACUGUACACUUGAAGUGAUUGAAAUGGUAAACCUGAUGUUAUGGAUAUUGUACCAUAAUAAUUUUUUAAAGUUUAUCUUCCCAGCUUCAAACCCUAGGCUAGGAAUUCUAGGACCUAGGAAACCCAUGAUUUUCUUUCUUUCCCCCUUUGUAAUUUUUAAUACAUUUCUAUCUUUCACAACUGUAAUCUCUCUGGCCCAAUGGGAACCUACUCGGAAGCUCUGUGAUGACCCUGAGAACCUAAUUUCUACUGGAAAAAUAGACCUGUCAUUCUACACCAGCACCUGGAUGGUUUUCUACCUACCUACUUAGUCCUGCAUUGGGGGACAAAUUCAUUAGUAUAUGAGGGUGAGAGAAUCACUCAACAGAAAGACAUUUUGUUAAGAAUACUACAUUUAAGGAACUAGGUUCAGGGACAAAAAUUGAUGCUACUACCUUGGUAAUAAUCUACAAUCUGAGAAUAUUAAAAUGUGCUGUGCGGCUACAGAAAUCAGGCGGUGUUUCACUGUUGCAACGAUAUGUAGAUCGGGGGAGAAAACUUGAGUAAGAAGUACAGGAACAUGGAAUCAAAGACACAGACCGUAAGGGCGGAAUCUAAAUAUGAAACGAACUUUAAACUGGAAAACUAAAACUUUAAUUUUGACAGGUGAGCACAUAGUAUGACCAAAUGUAAGAGGGAGUUUCAUGCCGUGAAGCGUGCCGCAUUCUGUUUGAAUGGCUUCGCUUCUAAGGCUUUGUCUCUAAGAUGUUGCUGAUUUUAAGAUGCACCAUUACUGCCAAGAAAGGGAGAGAUGCUGCCAUUUAGACUGUCCUGUCCAUUUCUAUCUUAUCUGCAUUAAAAGAGCUCUCUUACAGUUA